rnacentral:tRNA from 1 species
GGGCCAUUAGCUCAGUUGGUAGAGCACCUGACUCUUAAUCAGGGUGUCCUGGGUUCGAAUCCCCGAUGGCCCA